UUUUUUUUUUUUUUUUUUUUUUUUUUUUUUUUUUUUUUUUUUUUUUUUUUUUGACCCUCACCUGUUGA
rnacentral:ribozyme from 13 species